rnacentral:rRNA from 1 species
GACGAACGCUGGCGGCGUGCUUAACACAUGCAAGUCGAACGGAAAGGCCCUGCUUGCAGGGUACUCGAGUGGCGAACGGGUGGGUAACACGUGGGUGAUCUGCCCUGCACUUCGGGAUAAGCCUGGGAGACUGGGUCUAAUACCGGAUAGGGGCCAUUUUUAACGUGAUGGUUGGAAAGUUUUUUCGGGUUAGGAUGAGCUCGCGGCCUAUCAGCUUGUUGGUGGGGUAAUGGCCUACCAAGGCGGCGUCGGGUAGCCGGCCUGAGAGGGUGGACGGCCACAUUGGGACUGAGAUACGGCCCAGACUCGUACGGGAGGCAGAAGUGGGGAAUCUUGCACAAUGGGCGCAAGCCUGAUGCAGCGACGCCGCGGGGGGUAUGACGGUCUUCGGGUUGUAAACCCCUUGCGCUAGGGACGAAGCUUUUUGUGACGGUACCUAGAUAAGAAGCACCGGCUAACUACGUG